rnacentral:rRNA from 1 species
AGGACGAACGCUGGCGGCGUGCUUAAACACAUGCAAGUCGAGCGGAAAGGCCCUUCGGGGUACUCGAGCGGCGAACGGGUGAGUAACACGUGAGUAAUCUGCCCCUAGCUCUGGGAUAGCUCCGGGAAACCGGGAUUAAUACCGGAUACGACCACCUUAGACAUCUUUUGUGGUGGAAAGAAUUUCGGCUAGGGAUGAGCUCGCGGCCUAUCAGCUUGUUGGUGGGGUAAACGGCCUACCAAGGCGACGACGGGUA